GAAAUGCGAUAAGUAAUGUGAAUUGCAGAAUUCCGUGAAUCAUCGAAUCUUUGAACGCACAUUGCGCCCUUUGGUAUUCCAAAGGGCAUGCCUGUUCGAGCGUCAUUUGUACCCUCAAGCUUUGCUUGGUGUUGGGCGUCUUGUCUCUAGCUUUGCUGGAGACUCGCCUUAAAGUAAUUGGCAGCCGGCCUACUGGUUUCGGAGCGCAGCACAAGUCGCACUCUCUAUCAGCAAAGGUCUAGCAUCCAUUAAGCCUUUUUUCAACUUUUGACCUCGGAUCAGGUAGGGAUACCCGCUGAACUUAAGC
rnacentral:misc_RNA from 1 species